CUGCAGGUGAGUAUGAGCAGUGCAUGUUAGAACAGAGCUGUCUGAGCCACGUUGUGGUUUAUAAGUAGUUGUUCUCCUAGAGGCUGAGGACUAAAGGAGCCAUUGAAGUACACAAGCUUUCCUCGAACUAUGGUACCUUUAACCUCUCCAUGCAGCGUAACGCCAAGAUAUGGAGUCAACUGAAAAGACAAAGAGAGAGAUUUAAUGUCAUCUGCACUCCUUCUUCUUUAACAGAAUAAAUAAGUCACUCACUUUG